GACGAACGCUGGCGGCGCGCCUAACACAUGCAAGUCGAACGAGCGAGGGAGAGCUUGCUUUCUUGAGCGAGUGGCGAACGGGUGAGUAACGCGUGAGGAACCUGCCUCAAAGAGGGGGACAACAGUUGGAAACGACUGCUAAUACCGCAUAAGCCCACGACCCGGCAAUCGGGUUGAGGGAAAAGGAGUGAUCCGCUUUGAGAUGGCCUCGCGUCCGAUUAGCUAGUUGGUGAGGUAACGGCCCACCAAGGCGACGAUCGGUAGCCGACCUGAGAGGGUGAUCGGCCACAUUGGAACUGAGACACGGUCCAA
rnacentral:rRNA from 1 species